rnacentral:rRNA from 1 species
AGAGUUUGAUCAUGGCUCAGAGCGAACGCUGGCGGCAGGCCUAAUACAUGCAAGUCGAACGGAUCCUUCGGGAUUAGUGGCGGACGGGUGAGUAACACGUGGGAACGUGCCCUUUGGUUCGGAACAACUCAGGGAAACUUGAGCUAAUACCGGAUGAGCCCUUCGGGGGAAAGAUUUAUCGCCAUUGGAGCGGCCCGCGUCUGAUUAGCUAGUUGGUGGGGUAAUGGCCUACCAAGGCUACGAUCAGUAGCUGGUCUGAGAGGAUGAUCAGCCACACUGGGACUGAGACACGGCCCAGACUCCUACGGGAGGCAGCAGUAGGGAAUCUUGCGCAAUGGGCGAAAGCCUGACGCAGCCAUGCCGCGUGAAUGAUGAAGGUCUUAGGAUUGUAAAAUUCUUUCAGCGGGGACGAUAAUGACGGUACCCGCAGAAGAAGCCCCGGCUAACUUCGUGCCAGCAGCCGCGGUAAUACGAAGGGGGCUAGCGUUGCUCGGAAUUACUGGGCGUAAAGGGCGCGUAGGCGGAUGUUUAAGUCAGAGGUGAAAGCCCAGGGCUCAACCUUGGAAUUGCCUUUGAUACUGGACAUCUUGAGUACGGGAGAGGUGAGUGGAACUCCGAGUGUAGAGGUGAAAUUCGUAGAUAUUCGGAAGAACACCAGUGGCGAAGGCGACUCACUGGCCCGUUACUGACGCUGAGGCGCGAAAGCGUGGGGAGCAAACAGGAUUAGAUACCCCCGUAGUCC